ensembl:ncRNA C03A3.4 ncRNA
CGACUUGUACAAGAUAAACCCGUUUUUAGUUCUUUGAAACUUAAAAAAAAUACGAUUGACCGAUAUUUCAUCGCUGAUACGCGUCGGUAAGAUUAAUUAUCCUUGAUCAUCUUAAGAAACUUCUAGUUGUUUCGGUUCUAACAGUCCAUAAUUCGUUGCUUUCAUAUCUCACAAGUUUUGUCUCAUUUUCUUCCUGACACCCUUUCUUGCUAAUGAAAGUUUCU